rnacentral:lncRNA from 1 species
UUCCCUGUAGGUUGCAGAUGAAUUGCAAAGUAGUGGUGAGCAGAAGAAUCUGGGGUUUGAGGCACCACACAACGUGCGAAGGCUCGUCCAGAAAGAACAGCAAAUGAUAAGGAAACCAAGCUUAAAUAAGAGAAUAAAUCAUCUAAGGAAUCACUAUCCAACGGAACUCUCAAG